GCCUUCGUGGCGUAACGGUCAGCACGCUCGACGCGUAUUCCAGAGGUCCAGGGUUCGAGUCCUAGCGAAGGCA
rnacentral:tRNA from 1 species